GGCCCUAUAGGCGAACGGUUUAAGCCACCACUCUUUCAAAGUGGAAAUUGCGGGUUCAAAUCCCGUUAGGGCUA
rnacentral:tRNA from 1 species